UCCGAAUUGGUGUAGUGGCUAACAUUUGACGCUCUCACGAUCCAAAUUCUCGGAUUCAGUGUUCCGUCAAGCCCGGGGUUCGAUUCCCCGAUUCGGAG